AUUGAACGCUGGCGGCAUGCUUUACACAUGCAAGUCGAACGGCAGCAUGGGUGCUUGCACCUGAUGGCGAGUGGCGAACGGGUGAGUAAUAUAUCGGAACGUACCCGGAAAUGGGGGAUAACGUAGCGAAAGUUACGCUAAUACCGCAUAUGCCCUGAGGGGGAAAGUGGGGGAUCCGCAAGGACCUCACGUUUUCGGAGCGGCCGAUAUCAGAUUAGCUAGUUGGUGAGGUAAAGGCUCACCAAGGCGACGAUCUGUAGCUGGUCUGAGAGGAAGACCAGCCACACUGGGACUGAGAAACGGCCCAGACUCCUACGGGAGGCAGCAGUGGGGAAUUUUGGACAAUGGGGGCAACCCUGAUCCAGCCAAGCCGCGUGAGUGAAGAAGGCCUUCGGGUUGUAAAGCUCUUUCGGACAGAAAGAAAUCGCACAGGAUAAUACCUUGUGUGGAUGACGGUACUGUAAGAAGAAGCACCGGCUAACUACGUGCCAGCCGCCGCAGUAA
rnacentral:rRNA from 1 species